AUCCAUCUGACGAUUUCCAAAUAGGACAAAACGCGCGUCAAACUGGAU
rfam:Schistosoma rodhaini strain Burundi genome assembly, scaffold: SROB_scaffold0002112